rnacentral:rRNA from 1 species
AAUGGCCGCAGUAUUUUGACUGUGCGAAGGUAGCAUAAUCAUUAGUUUCUUGAUUAGAAGCUGGAAUGAAUGGUUUGAUGAGAAAUUUACUGUCUCAAUUUAGUUGAUUUGAAUUUAAAUUUUGAGUGAAAAUGCUUAAAUGUUUUAUAAAGACGAGAAGACCCUAUAGAGUUUAAUUUAUUUUUCUUGGGAAAAAGUUUUUAGUAGAUUUUACUUUUUUUGGAAAAUGAAUUUUGUUGGGGUGACAGGAAAAUUUAACUAACUUUUCUUAUUUUAAACACUUAUAAGUGAUUUGAUGAUCUUGAUAUUUGGAUUAAAAGAUUAAAUUACCUUAGGGAUAACAGCGUAAUUUUUUUGGAAAGUUCUUAUUGAUAAAAAAGUUUGCGACCUCGAUGUUGGAUUAAAAUUUAUUUUUGGUGGAGAAGCUAAAAUAUUA